GGUGUGUCAUCGAGGAUAACGUAAGGGAAAAUAAUGAUAUUACCUUACUAUUAGUGUCGUCCAAGUACUCGUGCCAGAAGACUCGGUAAGGCGAGAGACGCAAACGUUAGUCGUCUUGAUCAGGCGUAAAGGGUUUGUAGGCGGCUUUAAGUAUCUUAUUUUUAGUUUACUAUUUUAAUGUUUAUAAUUAUAAUUGAAUUUUUAUCGGGCUUGUCUCCAUCAUUUAUAGAUUACUAAUUUAACAUUAAAAAAAUAAAGAAAGGAUCAAUUAAAGCUAGAAUCUAAAAGAGGUUAAAACAAUACUCUUCAAAGGAGUGCUAACCGUAGAUAAGGAGCAGAGUGUUAAGGGCGAAGGCAUUUAUCCAAUAAAGAUUGACGCUGAGAAACGAAGGUGAGGGCAGAAAAAA
rnacentral:rRNA from 1 species